UACGUAGGGGGCGAGCGUUGUCCGGAUUUAUUGGGCGUAAAGAGCUCGUAGGCGGCUCGGUAAGUCGGAUGUGAAACCUCCAGGCUCAACCUGGAGACGCCAUCUGAUACUGCCGUGGCUUGAGUCCGGUAGAGGAGCAGGGAAUUCAUGGUGUAGCGGUGAAAUGCGCAGAUAUCAGGAGGAACACCGGUGGCGAAGGCGGGUCUCUGGGCCGAUACUGACGCUGAGGAGCGAAAGCGUGGGGAGCGAACAGG
rnacentral:rRNA from 1 species